GGCGGCGUGCUUAACACAUGCAAGUCGAACGGAAAGGCCCUGCUUUUGUGGGGUGCUCGAGUGGCGAACGGGUGAGUAACACGUGAGUAACCUGCCCUUGACUUUGGGAUAACUUCAGGAAACUGGGGCUAAUACCGGAUAGGAGCUCCUGCUGCAUGGUGGGGGUUGGAAAGUUUCGGCGGUUGGGAAUGGACUCGCGGCUUAUCAGCUUGUUGGUGGGGUAGUGGCUUACCAAGGCUUUGACGGGUAGCCGGCCUGAGAGGGUGACCGGACACAUUGAGACUGAAAUACGGACCAGACUCCUACGGGAGGCACCAAUGGGGAAUAUUGCACAAUGGGCGGAAGCCUGAUGCAGCAACGCCACGUGCGGAAUGACGGCCUUCGGGUUGUAAACCGCUUUCGCCUGUGACUAACCGAGAGUGACAGUAAUGGGUAAAGAAGCACCGGCUAACUACGUGCCAGCAGCCGCGGUGAUACGUAGGGUGCGAGCGUUGUCCGGAUUUAUUGAGCGUAAAGGGCUCGUAGGUGGUUGAUCGCGUCUGAAGUGUAAUCUUGGGGCUUAACCCUGAGCGUGCUUUCGAUACUGGUUGACUUGAAGAAGGUAGGGGAGAAUGGAAUUCCUGGUGGAGCGGUGGAAUGCGCAGAUAUCAGGAGGAACACCAGUGGCGAAGGCGGUUCUCUGGGCCUUUCCUGACGCUGAGGAGCGAAAGCGUGGGGAGCGAACAGGCUUAGAUACCCUGGUAGUCCACGCUGUAAACGGUGGGUACUAGGUGUGGGGUCCAUUCCACGGGUUCCGUGCCGUAGCUAACGCUUUAAGUACCCCGCCUGGGGAGUACGGCCGCAAGGCUAAAACUCAAAGGAAUUGACGGGGCCCCGCACAAGCGGCGGAGCAUGCGGAUUAAUUCGAUGCAACGCGUAGAACCUUACCUGGGUUUGACAUGGAUCGGGAGUGCUCAGAGAUGGGUGUGCCUCUUUUGGGGUCGGUUCACAGGUGGUGCAUGCCUGUCGUCAGCUCGUGUCGUGAGAUGUUGGGUUAAGUCCCGCAACGAGCGCAACCCUUGUUCACUGUUGCCAGCACGUUAUGGUGGGGACUCAGUGGAGACCGCCGGGGUCAACUCGGAGGAAGGUGGGGAUGACGUCAAGUCCUCAUGCCCCUUAUGUCCAGGGCUUCACGCAUGCUACAAUGGCUGGUACAGAGAGUGGCGAGCCUGUGAGGGUGAGCGAAUCUCGGAAAGCCGGUCUCAGUUCGGAUUGGGGUCUGCAACUCGACCUCAUGAAGUCGGAGUCGCUAGUAAUCGCAGAUCAGCAACGCUGCGGUGAAUACGUUCCCGGGGCUUGUACACACCGCCCGUCAAGUCAUGAAAGUUGGUAACACCCGAAGCCGGUGGCCUAACCGUUGUGGGGGAGCCGUCGAAGGUGGGACUGGUGAUUAGGACUAAGUCAUA
rnacentral:rRNA from 1 species